CUUACUAAUUUAUCUCCCACAGAUUAAAAAUAUAUGAUAAUUAGGAUGAACACUCAAGUUUAUCUAUGGAGGAAACAGAUUUUCUUAAAAAUAACAAGGCUACAAAAAUGUUUUUAAGCUCAUUAAAAGGAACCUUUUGUGCACUCUGUUGUAUACAAAGAUGCAAAUUAUGCAAGGUUUUUUUCCGGGGAAAACAGUGUCUUGGCCAUUCAUGUUCUUCUCCGCUCCCUUAAAAUAUCCCACUAAAAAACCAGUAAAAUAUGGAUAAGCCCACCAGAACAUGAGAGUGAAGAGCUCAAUAUGUGUCAGAAAGACGGACAGCAGUGGAACCCAGUAAUCGAUUGCACAGUAAAGAACGAGCCAAGAAUGUUACCACCUGAAGGACUACAGAGAGAAUUCCAGAGAAGCAUGAGCUCCUUGACUCUGCACACCCUGCAGGGGCUGGGACCACCAGAGACAGAGGGUAAAAAAUGAGAAGACACCAAAGGAUCACCAAACAUCUGAGGAAAACUCCAGCAAGUUAGACGAAGAUCUGAACAAACAAGCAGAAAAAAGAAUAACAGGAAAAACAAAGAGCACAAAGAAAACAAACCUAAUUAAUAGUCUCCAAGAAUUAAGACAAACUAUAGCAUCCAUAAAACAGGAACAAAAUUCCACUAAAAAAAAAAUUCAGAGAACAAAAAGAGCUAAAAUAUAAUAGUUAAAAUUUAAACACAAUAUAUUCGUGAGAAGGGUCACAAAAAUAAAGUUUAAGAAAUGUGACAGAAGUAAUAGAGAAAAACACAGACUUAAAAAAAUCAAUCCAUGAGGUCCUCUUUCCAACAAGGGAUCCAGAGAGAGAGAGAGAAAACAAAGAAAAUGGAGAAGGACAUUACCAAAUACAUAAUGUGAGAAAAUUCCCCAGAUCCCAGGUAUGAGUCUCUCUUAUGGGUGGCAAAUAGGGUUAAAAAAAAAAAUGAUAAACACCCAUUACUUGUAAUAAUAAAUCUUUUAAAAACUA